CGGAGGGAUCUUGAGCUUGGUGACCAGCGGAGGGUCAUUACCGAGUUUACAACUCCCAAACCCCUGUGAACAUACCUAUACGUUGCCUCGGCGGAUCAGCCCGCGCCCCGUAAAACGGGACGGCCCGCCCGAGGACCCCUAAACUCUGUUUUUAGUGGAACUUCUGAGUAAAACAAACAAAUAAAUCAAAACUUUCAACAACGGAUCUCUUGGUUCUGGCAUCGAUGAAGAACGCAGCAAAAUGCGAUAAGUAAUGUGAAUUGCAGAAUUCAGUGAAUCAUCGAAUCUUUGAACGCACAUUGCGCCCGCCAGUAUUCUGGCGGGCAUGCCUGUUCGAGCGUCAUUUCAACCCUCAAGCUCAGCUUGGUGUUGGGACUCGCGGUAACCCGCGUUCCCCAAAUCGAUUGGCGGUCACGUCGAGCUUCCAUAGCGUAGUAAUCAUACACCUCGUUACUGGUAAUCGUCGCGGCCACGCCGUAAAACCCCAACUUCUGAAUGUUGACCUCGGAUCAGGUAGGAAUACCCGCUGAACUUAA
rnacentral:rRNA from 1 species